AGAAAAUACAAAUUAAUGACUCCCACCCCAGGUUUGUGCAGAGAACAGCUUGCACAGUUAGAAGCACAGCCCUGCAUCUCUGGUUCUUUAUAGUCGACUAUCAUUUAUUGGAAAAUAUGGACAGGGAGGCCUGGUGUGCUGAGGUUUAUGGGGUCACAGAGUUGGACACGACUGAGUGACUGAACUGACCUGAAGCCUAAAAUGAUAAUUAUUUAUUGAACACUUAUUGUAAUGUGUUACGUGCUGUUAAAUUUUAGUCAAGCAAUUUCUAACAAAUACUCUUAUGCCCCCUUUACAUGUGAGAAUGCACAGAGAGGUUUAGGGAUUUAGUCAAUACUGUUGCAAUCAUUAUGAAUGCUUCUUGUUGAAAAAAAUGAACAAUGUGAAAGUUUCAAGUUUUAUUUUGGGCAAUAUGAGUACUGCAGCAUGAGAGACGGGUUUCAGAUAGCUCUGAGAAGCUGCUCUGAGUGGGGAGCUAGGAUUUAUAGGGGUUUUGCAACAAAUGGCAGGUAGUCAGAAACAUCAAAAGGUUGUUAAUUAAAACUAGAUAGAAAUUUAGCACUUUACUAUGUAUGGAAAUAUGCAAGAGUCUCUGGUUACUGCAGUUAUUCCCUUGAUAGGCACCUCAGCUAUCUGGGGCCAGUAUCCUGUGUUUUGAUAUCCUGAGUUUUCCUCAGGGCUCACCAUAAGGAAUGGCUGCAGUCUGGUGCCUGCUUAAUAGCAGGUAUUUUCUUUCCUGCGCUUCCUCAGGACUCACCAGCUCAGAUUGGAAGGCUGUUAUAAUUGCUGACUCUGAUGACUGUGACAUCCUUGUUUACUGAUAGAGCAGGACAUGUUCCAUUUCUCACUCUAAUGCUACUGCUAUGAUUCUGAAAAGUGGAUGCUGAAACAUCUUCUUAGUAGCCUCAAGAUAAUUGGAAUCCUGUUGAAAUAUGUGCUGGAAGAGGAAAUUCAGGGAAUCAACAAGCAGAGAUCUCAGUAGAAGAGGAGAAAUACAGAAAUUAAGAUAGAAGCUGGAAAAUGGAAUUUGCCUUUAUGGAAAUUCUGAAGAAAGUAAAGCACAGCAGAAAUAACAGCAGCAGAGACCUACCCUUUGGCAGGUAAUAGAGUUUUUAGUGGGUUUCCCUGGUGGCUCAGAUGGUAAAGAAUCUGGCUGUAAUGCAGGAGACCUGGGUUCGAUCCUUCAGUUGGUAAGAUCCCCUGAAGGAGGGCAUGGCAACCCACUCCAGUAUUCUUGCCUGGAGAAUCCCCAUGGGCAGAGGAGCCUGGCGGGCUACAGUCCGUGGGGUUGCAAAGAGUCGGACACAACUGAGGGACUAAGCGCACAGAGUUGUUAGUACAACUGCAUCCUCACCGUAGAGCUGCUCUCCAGCAGCAUUUGAGCCUUGGCGAUUUGGUACUCACUUGGAGCCAUGCUAUGACACACAACUGUGGAGAAGCCAUCCUGUGAGUUCCUGGGACCUCAAAACUCCUGCCUUCUUAACCUGAACCAAGAAGCAAGUAUGUGUGUGCAUGUGUGCUCACUUGCUCACCUGUGUCCAACUCUUUGUAACCCCAUGGACUACAGUCAGCCUGGCUCUUCUGUCUGUGGUAAACAUUAAAUGUACCUGACUUCAGGAAAAAAAAUUGGUCAGACA
ensembl:lncRNA